GCCUUCAAACCGAAUUCAACCUAUGGCUAUUUUUACUCAAAACCUCUUUAACAAAUGUAUAUCUUGCCUGUACAAGAAUAAAAAAAUACGCAGAGGACAGUAGGUUCUCCCCAACACAUGACAGAUUGAAGUGGACAGAAGAAGUAAAACAGGUGGCUGAUAAUGAAAAGUCGAUUGCUAGAAAAGAAAUAGAUCUGAAUCAUUGACUUAGCCGAGGACACAGAUGGACAGUGUUACUGCGUCGCUAAACAAAGCUUCUGACGAGGAAUAAACACUUCUAGGAAGUCAAUGGAGAGGUUCACGCAUAAAGUAACGCUUUCUCAAACAAGAAUCAGAGGGAGAGAGACAAAUCACGAGACUUUGUGGUAAAGAAGCCUUCAAGAAACACACUGGGAAAUAUUAAGAGUAAUUUAUUUGCCACUAAAUGGUGAACAAUGCAACAGGUUAUUAAGACAAUGACAAAAUAUAGCUUUCUUGACAACUGCCUCAGAACUAACCAGCCAGAAUAAAAUUCUCAGUAUAGCGAUACAAAAAAGGUAAAUAAAUGAGACAUAAGACGGGUAAUAUCGUAGCAAGAUUUGAAGUGUUCCAUCAACUAUUAUUAACAAACCUGUCGACUAAAACUUCAUGAAGUCUUUGUCUGUAGGCACAAAUGAUGUUUUUGUGAAAUUCAAAUCCUAUAAAAAGCGUAAACAAUUUUA